rnacentral:rRNA from 1 species
AGUGAACGCUGGCGGUAGGCCUAACACAUGCAAGUCGAACGGCAGCACAGUAAGAGCUUGCUCUUACGGGUGGCGAGUGGCGGACGGGUGAGGAAUACGUCGGAAUCUACUUUUUCGUGGGUGAUAACGUAGGGAAACUUACGCUAAUACCUCAUACGUCCUACGGGUGAAAGCAGGGGUUCUUCGGACCUUGCGCGAUUGUAUGAGCCGAUGUCGGAUUAGCUAGUUGGCGGGGUAAAGGCACACCAAGGCGACGAUCCGUAGCUGGUCUGAGAGGAUGAUCAGCCAAACUGGAACUGAGACACGGUCCAGAAUCCUACGGGAGGCAGCAGUAGGGAAUAUUGGACAAUGGGCGCAAGCCUGAUCCAGCCAUACCGCGUGGGUGAAGAAGGUCUUCGGGUUGUAAAGCCCUUUUGUUGGGAAAGAAAAGAAGCAGGUUAAUACCCCGCUGUUCUGACGGUACCCAAAGAAUAAGCACCGGCUAACUUCGUG